rnacentral:rRNA from 1 species
UACGUAGGCAGCGAGCGUUGUUCGGAAUUACUGGGCGUAAAGAGUGUGUAGGCGGUGUUCCCAGUCUGUUGUGAAAUCUCCCGGCUUAACUGGGAGGGUGCAGCGGAAACUAGAAUGCUAGAGGGUGGGAGAGGUAAGCGGAAUUCCUGGUGUAGCGGUGAAAUGCGUAGAUAUCAGGAGGAACACCUGUGGCGAAGGCGGCCUGCUGGGCAGUUUGCUGACACUGAGGCGCGACAGCGUGGGGAGCAAACAGG